AUAUACCUUUAACCCUUAUCAUGCUGGAUACGACUGAUUAUGCCUUUGCGGCCAGUGAAGAUCUGCACUGCUCACCAUUCAGUCAGUAUAUUUUUGGUAAGCACCCCCUUUAAAACAGUUAACGAUCCAGUCCAAAUUGUAAGAUGAACAAGUUCAUUAUAGAAAUUUAGCAGGGUAAGGGUUAACGGCUCUUCUAAUAUAUGUCAUGACAAGUUACAACAGUUUGUAUGAAGGUAUGUCACAUCUAAUUUUUUUGUGUUGCUAAAAGCAAAGAUUUCAAAAAAAGUUAUGACCAAAUAAUUUCAGGAUGUGAUCAUCUAUGAUAUUGAAAACCAAUAUUCUCAAAGAUUUGUAUUUAAUUAUGUUAACCUAUGUUUUCAGAUGAAACUACUAGCACCAGAUUUGGAAAUUUUCACAAUUCUUUUGAGGACGUUCUCAGUUGGGAAGCUAGGUUCUUAGAUUGCGACAUGUCUUGCAUCCAUUUGCCCCUUUUGGUGGUAAAAUAAGAGUUGGACUAGGAACCACCUUAUUGGACAACAAGGAUAUUGCAUUACGGAAGCCGAUCUGUGGUUGGCUGCGUAGUAGAUCUUCAGCAACCAUCUCGGUGAGGACCGUCACAGGGGAAGUUCUAUUACUACGUCCGAAUCUCAGAGGAGACAGCAGAUUCAUUUCUGAUGUUUUGGGCGUCCAUUCUUGUUCUGGAAGGUUGUUUGCCAAUGAAUUUGGAGAAAGGGACGGAAAAUUUCUGAUCUGUCAAAGAAGAACGAUGAAAAUACAGAACAUAUAUUAUUUCAUUAUUUCACUUAUUGGGAGUUGUAGAAUAUUGCCAUAGUAUGUAAAACGUACAAUUUUUUGAGACUUUAUCUACACAGAAGUAAAACUGGCGUACUGACGAGGAUGACUUAUACAAAAUUAAUGUCUGAUUAACAUCAUCUCAUCAAAUACGUUCCUUUGACUGAGAUCGUGUCCUCCAAGCAGAAAUAUAUAUCAUAACCGUUUUAACAUUAAUAACAAAACAUAACAAAAUGUCUGCAUAUUGUAUGCAGCAGCUAUGUAAUUAAAACUGAAAGUAGAAUUU